UGCAAGUCGUACGCUUCUUUUUCCACCGGAGCUUGCUCCACCGGAAAAAGAAGAGUGGCGAACGGGUGAGUAACACGUGGGUAACCUGCCCAUCAGAAGGGGAUAACACUUGGAAACAGGUGCUAAUACCGUAUAACAAUCGAAACCGCAUGGUUUUGAUUUGAAAGGCGCUUUCGGGUGUCGCUGAUGGAUGGACCCGCGGUGCAUUAGCUAGUUGGUGAGGUAACGGCUCACCAAGGCCACGAUGCAUAGCCGACCUGAGAGGGUGAUCGGCCACAUUGGGACUGAGACACGGCCCAAACUCCUACGGGAGGCAGCAGUAGGGAAUCUUCGGCAAUGGACGAAAGUCUGACCGAGCAACGCCGCGUGAGUGAAGAAGGUUUUCGGAUCGUAAAACUCUGUUGUUAGAGAAGAACAAGGAUGAGAGUAACUGUUCAUCCCUUGACGGUAUCUAACCAGAAAGCCACGGCUAACUACGUG
rnacentral:rRNA from 1 species